rnacentral:tRNA from 1 species
GCUCCCGUAGCUCAGUUGCAUAGAGCGCGCGCCUCCUAAGCGCGAGGCCGCUGGUUGGAAUCCAGCCGGGGGCACCA